rnacentral:rRNA from 1 species
CUGCGAAGGCUCAUUAUAUCAGUUAUAGUGAACCGUGAAGAAUACUAAUUGGAUAACCGUAGUAAUUCUAGAGCUAAUACAUGUAUAAAGUCUUGUAGACUGCAUUUAUUAGAAUGAAAACCAUAGGUUUCGGCCUAUUCGUGAGUAAUAAUAACUAAUCAUAUCGUAUGCUUAUGUAACGAUGUGUCUUUCAAGUUUCUGCCCUAUCAGCUUUCGAUGGUAGUGUAUUGGACUACCAUG